GGGCCCGCACAAGCGGUGGAGCAUGUGGUUUAAUUCGAUGAUACGCGAGGAACCUUACCAGGGCUUAAAUGUAAGUUGCAUAGAUCAGAGAUGGUCUUUUCUUCGGACUACUUACAAGGUGCUGCAUGGUUGUCGUCAGCUCGUGCCGUGAGGUGUCAGGUUAAGUCCUAUAACGAGCGCAACCCCUGUCGUUAGUUACCAGCAAGUAAUGUUGGGUACUCUAGCGAGACUGCCGGUGCAAACCGUGAGGAAGGUGGGGAUGACGUCAAAUCAUCACGGCCCUUACGUGUAGGGCUACACACGUGCUACAAUGGGGAAUACAGACGGACGCUAAGCCGCGAGGUGGUGCU
rnacentral:rRNA from 1 species